CGUAGGUGGCAAGCGUUGUCCGGAACUUAUUGGGCGUAAAGACGCGCGCAGGCGGUUCCUUAAGUCCGAUGUGAAAGCCCCCGGCUCAACCGGGGAAGGUCAUUGGAAACUGGGGAACUUGAGUGCAGAAGAGAAGAGCGGAAUUCCACGUGUAGCGGUGAAAUGCGUAGAGAUGUGGAGGAACACCAGUGGCGAAGGCGGCUCUUUGGUCUGUAACUGACGCUGAGGCGCGAAAGCGUGGGGAGCAAACAGGAUUAGAUACCCUGGUAGUCCACGCCGUAAACGAUGAGUGCUAAGUGUUAGAGGGUUUCCGCCCUUUAGUGCUGCAGCUAACGCAUUAAGCACUCCGCCUGGGGAGUACGGCCGCAAGGCUG
rnacentral:rRNA from 1 species